AUUGAACGCUGGCGGCAGGCUUAACACAUGCAAGUCGAGCGGAGAUGAGGUGCUUGCACCUUAUCUUAGCGGCGGACGGGUGAGUAAUGCUUAGGAAUCUGCCAUUUAGUGGGGGACAACAUUCCGAAAGGAAUGCUAAUACCGCAUACGUCCUACGGGAGAAAGCAGGGGAUCUUCGGACCUUGCGCUAAAUGAUGAGCCUAAGUCGGAUUAGCUAGUUGGUGGGGUAAAGGCCUACCAAGGCGACGAUCUGUAGCGGGUCUGAGAGGAUGGUCCGCCACACUGGGACUGAGACACGGCCCAGACUCCUACGGGAGGCAGCAGUGGGGAAUAUUGGACAAUGGGCGGAAGCCUGAUCCAGCCAUGCCGCGUGUGUGAAGGAGGCCUUUUGGUUGUAAAGCACUUUAAGCGAAGAGGAGGCUACCUGGAUUAAUACUCUGGGAUAGUGGACGUUACUCGCGGAAUAAGCACCGGCUAACUCUGUGCCAGCAGCCGCCGUAA
rnacentral:rRNA from 1 species